UGAAAAGCUUAUCUUUCUAAGAUUAGAGAAUUCCCAGGGUUUCUGAAUCUGCUCAACUUCCUGCCCCCGCUUUUUUUGUGGGAUGUCUUAUCUAACCAUGGACAAUAAGGAACAGAACAGCUAGAUGAUUCAUGCCUAUAUCAGGCCUCCUGAAGCAUCCUAUUUUUGAAUGGGAUUUCUCAUUCACUGGAGGUACCCACUCAAGCAGAGAGCUAUUAUCUCUGUGAGCACAUGAACUCUGAAUGUCCAAGUGUUCCCCAAAAUAUUCCAGAACAGAGUUUUAAAGAGAAGAAAAAUAAAAGAAGACCUCAUUCACACCUUAAAAUCUAAACUUUUAAAAAUACAGUAAAUAUAACUAUAUAACACA